rnacentral:misc_RNA from 1 species
GAAAUGCGAUAAGUAGUGUGAAUUGCAGAAUUCAGUGAAUCAUCGAAUCUUUGAACGCACAUUGCGCCCCUCGGUAUUCCGUGGGGCAUGCCUGUUCGAGCGUCAUCUACACCCUCAAGCUCUGCUUGGUGUUGGUCGUCUGUCCCGCCUCCGCGCGCGGACUCGCCCCAAAUGCAUUGGCAGCGGUUCCUUGCCCCCCUCUUUGCGCAGCACAUUGCCAUUCGAGGCGGCGGCGGCCCGCGUCCAACAAGCUCAACCCCCCCGUCUUUGACCUCGGAUCAGGUAGGGAUACCCGCUGAACUUAAGC